AACGAACGCUGGCGGCAUGCCUAACACAUGCAAGUCGAACGAAGGCUUCGGCCUUAGUGGCGCACGGGUGCGUAACGCGUGGGAAUCUGCCCUUGGGUUCGGAAUAACUCAGAGAAAUUUGAGCUAAUACCGGAUGAUGACGUAAGUCCAAAGAUUUAUCGCCCAAGGAUGAGCCCGCGUAAGAUUAGCUAGUUGGUGGGGUAAAGGCCUACCAAGGCGACGAUCUUUAGCUGGUCUGAGAGGAUGAUCAGCCACACUGGGACUGAGACACGGCCCAGACUCCUACGGGAGGCAGCAGUGGGGAAUAUUGGACAAUGGGCGAAAGCCUGAUCCAGCAAUGCCGCGUGAGUGAUGAAGGCCUUAGGGUUGUAAAGCUCUUUUACCAGGGAUGAUAAUGACAGUACCUGGAGAAUAAGCUCCGGCUAACUCCGUGCCAGCAGCCGCGGUAAAGUGGGACUGU
rnacentral:rRNA from 1 species